rnacentral:lncRNA from 1 species
GAAAAUUUAACCGUUCAAUCUCUGAGUUGUGACUGCCAAAUCAUUCCUGGUGCGGAGAGCUUCCAUUCAAACCAAAUAUUUCUCCGUUCCGACUAGGUAAACUACUUUUCCCUUUCCUCUUCACUGUUUUGAUGUCUAGGGCAUGCAACUCUACAGGUCGCAUGCUAUUAGCAUGUUUCCCCUUGCAUUCUCUGCCAAGUCAAACUCUGAGGACAUUACUCUAUCGCCAUUUUGGUGAUCAUGGGUUUUGUGAGUUCGGUGCUGUGAGGAUACUGCUAGGACGGAUAUUGUGAGCUGCGUUAAGCACCAAAAAGGUAAGGGGAGCUAACUAUAUAGAUAAAUAUAUUAUUUCUUGGUUUGUGUAUUCAUUGAUGGAAAUAUAUGUUGAACUUAUUGUGAAUUGGUUGAUCUGAAAAUAUGCUGCUCUUGUGAAUGUAAGAUGAUAUGUUCUGGAAUAUUAUGCAUAAAUCUGUGGAUUUGGUAUUGCAUGGGUUGGCUUGUUUUAAAUGGAUGGGAUGUUGGAAAUUGACAUGCUGAAAAUGUUGUGUUUACUGGAAAUUUGAUUUUUACUGGUGAUAUGAUGAAGGGUCAUGGUCUGUGUAGGAUUUAGGGUCUGUGAGUGGAAGUGAGGUACUGGUUAAGAGUAAUUGAGGUUUAAGAACGCCGUAGAGCAACUAGGAUACUUUAAUAAGUCGGUUGAACCUGAUUAGGAACCUCCUUCUUUGUUGGUAGGAUAGAGGGAACCUAAAAACCAGAGCCGACACAUCACUGAUCAUAGAGCAGCCCUGGCCUGGUCCAGUCAGUUGUGACUAGUCAUAUGUGCUGGUGCCGAAGGUGAGUCCGAUGCGUUGGACAUCUGUUCCCACUCCGGUGACCAAUUGGGGUACAAGAAGGUUGAGAGAGAGUAGAACCCUUAGGACAGUUAGAGGAUCAGUAGAGGAAUUGGGUUAAUUUUGGGUUGGUUAAAGGGAAGCGAGAUAGAAAAUUUAGGUAUAUGUGGUGUGGGGUGUACGGUCUGUCUAGGCAGUUUAGGUAACUUAAUUUAGACUUGUUUGGACUAUAAAAAUGAACUAAAACCUAUCCACAGUGUCAUAAUUGAAUCAGGGCCCCUAAGUCUUAGGUAUGAAUGUGUUAGAGUUAAAUUCACACAUAGGUCAGCUUAUAAUUACUGUAGGAAUAGUUUAAAUUGGUUAAACAUGUUUCAUAUCAAUAUUAGUGUUAUAGAAUUUAAAUUGAACAAUUGGAUAUGUCUAAGAUGUACCAAAACCAGAAAAAAAUCAGGUUGCUGUNAAAAACUGAUGAGAAUAAUCNAUUAUCUCACUUGAUAAUCGAUUAUUCUGGUCAGAACUUCAUAUUUUCUUCAAAGUUCUCGCAAAUAAUCGAUUAUCACAUGUAAUAAUCGAUUAUUGUAUGUAAUAAUCGAUUAUCAUAUGUAAUAAUCGAUUAUUGUCGUCGAAAAAUCAUCCAGGACAGUUUUGAGUGGUUUUCGGGGUUUCGGGUAUCAUUUUUGGACGUUCCUUAGGUCGUUUUGGGGUUUUGGACCCUUAUGAAACUGUUGGUGAUGGUUUUCAAGUCAUUUUCAUUGUCUAAGUAUGAGUUUGUGGGGUUUGUGUUGUUUAUUAGUUCUUUUGGGUNUGUUAUUNGUUGNAAAUGAAUGUGGAAUGAUUNCAAUGUAAAUUAUGACUGAGGUGAUGUUGUUAAAUUGAAAGUAUGUGAUCAUAAAGGUUAUGAAUUGAUGUUAAGUGUAACAAGCAUGGUUCUUGGAAGUAAUUCCAUGAUCCUCAAGGCGAGGAUUCAUGGUGGUGCCCUCAGUGUUUUAAAAUGAAAGUAGGGGCUCAGCCUUGGGUUGAUCAUACUCACUUAGAGAGGUUGAACCAUGUGGUGAGGAGUAGCAGGAGAGGUUGAACCAUGUGGUGAGGAGUAGCAGGAGGUCCUUAGUCUUUGGGGCUCCCAGUAUGCCUCAAGGCCCGGAACGGACUAACCUCAUGAGUGUGGCAGGGUGGGAAACCCAAGUUUCAUAAGUCACCAUGGGUGCAAGACUCGCCAUAGCCCGACUAUCAUUUUAAAGUACGAACGAGUCAAGUCUAGAAAUUAACAUGCUUAGGUUGUAUUUCUGAAACUAUUUGGUGUGAGUUAUUUCUUGUAUGUUACAUGCCUAAAUUGAGUUGCAUGAUUUUAUAUAAUUAGCUCACCCUUGCUUGCUUGUAUUUGUGUAUGUUGUAUGUUUUCCUUUUGCAAUGAUCAUUCUUUUUGGAUGUGAGCAGAGGUGAAUGAGGUCACUCUGGAGAACGUCC